AUUGAACGCUGGCGGCAUGCCUUACACAUGCAAGUCGAACGGCAGCGCGGACUUCGGUCUGGCGGCGAGUGGCGAACGGGUGAGUAACAUAUCGGAACGUGCCCUGGAGAGGGGGAUAACUAGUCGAAAGACUAGCUAAUACCGCAUACGCCCUGAGGGGGAAAGUGGGGGAUCGCAAGACCUCAUGCUCGUGGAGCGGCCGAUAUCUGAUUAGCUAGUUGGUGGGGUAAAGGCCUACCAAGGCGACGAUCAGUAGCUGGUCUGAGAGGACGACCAGCCACACUGGGACUGAGACACGGCCCAGACUCCUACGGGAGGCAGCAGUGGGGAAUUUUGGACAAUGGGGGCAACCCUGAUCCAGCAAUGCCGCGUGAGUGAAGAAGGCCUUCGGGUUGUAAAGCUCUUUUGUCCGGGAAGAAAUCCCAUCCCUGAAUACGGGGUGGGGAUGACGGUACUGGAAGAAUAAGCACCGGCUAACUACGUGCCAGCCGCCGCCGUAAAAC
rnacentral:rRNA from 1 species